rnacentral:rRNA from 1 species
GUUUGGUUAAGUUAGAAAGGGCGCACGGUGGAUGCCUUGACACUAGGAGUCGAUGAAGGACGGGACUAACGCCGAUAUGCUUCGGGGAGCUGUAAGUAAGCUUUGAUCCGAAGAUUUCCGAAUGGGGAAACCCACUAUACGUAAUGGUAUGGUAUCCUUACCUGAAUACAUAGGGUAUGGAAGACAGACCCAGGGAACUGAAACAUCUAAGUACCUGGAGGAAGAGAAAGCAAAUGCGAUUUCCUGAGUAGCGGCGAGCGAAACGGAACAUAGCCCAAACCAAGAGGCUUGCCUCUUGGGGUUGUAGGACAUUCUAUACGGAGUUACAAAGGAACGAGGUAGACGAAGCGACCUGGAAAGGUCCGUCGUAGAGGGUAACAACCCCGUAGUCGAAACUUCGUUCUCUCUUGAAUGUAUCCUGAGUACGGCGGAACACGUGAAAUUCCGUCGGAAUCUGGGAGGACCAUCUCCCAAGGCUAAAUACUCCCUAGUGAUCGAUAGUGAACCAGUACCGUGAGGGAAAGG